CAUUGAGAGUCUGGUUGUUGGUGGAUGGCUGCGGCACAUGCUGCUGCUGGGCUGGGGAACUUCCAAAGUGAUGCAGGGCUGGCUGAUGGGAGGAGAAUUGUGGAGUCAAACCUCUAUUGAAGGGGUUUCCAUUGACGGCUGGAAUUUGGCCAGUUGCUAUCUUAAGCCGCUGCACCUCUUCCCUCAACGCAUCAUUCAGAGCAUCUCUAAGUUGUGCUUG
rnacentral:misc_RNA from 1 species